CGUUGAGUUUGGACAUCGGGAUGCCCAUCCCCUUGAGGGUGUCGGCGUACAUGAUGUUCAAGCCGCUGCCGCCAUCCAUGAGGACUUUGCGCAGUCGGACUCCUUCUACCACCGGGUCGACGACCAGGGCCUGUCUCCCCGGGGUGGGUACAUGUGCCGGAUGAUCCGACUGGUCGAAGGUGAUCGCAGUCUGAGACCAUUUGAGGAACUUGGGGUUGGAAGGGGUGGCCAUGUUCACCUCUCUGUUCACCAGCUUCAGUCGGCUCUUGCUCUCGACAUCAGCAAAGAUC
rnacentral:lncRNA from 1 species